rnacentral:rRNA from 1 species
AUUGAACGCUGGCGGCAGGCUUAACACAUGCAAGUCGAACGAGUGGCGGACGGGUGAGUAAUGCGUGGACAUCCAGCUUAUGGGGGGGGAUAACUACGGGAAACUGUCUCUAAUCCCGCAUACCCUAGUUUGCGCCCAAGGGGGAUUGGGUAGUGGGUGAGGUAAGGGCUCACCAGGGCGGCGACCUCUAGCUGGUCUGAGAGGAUGAACAGCCACACGGGGACUGAGACACGGCCCAGAUUCUUACGGGAGGCAGCAGGGGGAAAUAUUGCACAAUGGGGGAAAGCCUGACGCAGCCAUGCCGCGGGAAUGAAGAAGGCCUUGGGGUUGUAAAGUUCUUUCAGUGGGGAGGCGUUACCGACAGAAGAAGCACCGGCUAACUCCGUGCCAGCAGCCGCGGUAAUAC